UGCCGCAAUGAUGACGUUUUAUUUGCUACUCUUGACUGUCAGAAUGACGAGAGUUAUUACCACCAUUACCCCAGCUGAGGCA
rnacentral:snoRNA from 1 species